GAAGAGGUGGCUGAGCGGCUGAAAGCGAUACCGUGCUAAGGUAUUGGGGGAGCAAUCCCCUCGUGGGUUCGAAUCCCACCCUCUUCG
rnacentral:tRNA from 1 species